GUCGAACGCUGGCGGCGUGCCUAAUACAUGCAAGUCGACCUUAGUGGCGACCGAGUGAGUUGCACGUGGGUAACGGAUCCAUCAGAAGGGGAUAACACUUGGACACAGGUGCUAAUACCGUAUACUGAUGGAUGGACCCGCGGUGCAUUAGCUAGUUGGUGAGGUAAAGGCUCACCAAGGCCACGAUGCAUAGCUGGUCUGAGAGGAUGAUCAGCCACAUGGGGACUGAGACACGGCCCAAACUCCUACGGGAGGCAGCAGUGGGGAAUAUUAGACAAUGGACGAAAGCCUGACCGAGCAAUGCCGCGUGAGUGAAGAAGGUUUUCGGAUUGUAAAGCUCUGUUGGUAGGGAAGCGGUAUCUAACGAAAAAGCAACGGCUAACUACGUGCCAGCAGCCGCGGUAAUAC
rnacentral:rRNA from 1 species